UGAGGAAUAUUGGUCAAUGGGCGCAAGCCUGAACCAGCCAUGCCGCGUGAAGGAUGACUGCCCUAUGGGUUGUAAACUUCUUUUGUAGUAGGCGAAACGCAUGUCUAGAACAUGAACUGACGGUAUACUACGAAUAAGCAUCGGCUAACUCCGUGCCAGCAGCCGCGGUAAUACGGAGGAUGCGAGCGUUAUCCGGAUUUAUUGGGUUUAAAGGGUUCGUAGGCGGCUUUAUAAGUCAGCGGUGAAAUACCAGAGCUUAACUCUGGGGCUGCCGUUGAUACUGUUAAGCUUGAGUAGGAUCGACGAUGGCGGAAUGAGACAAGUAGCGGUGAAAUGCAUAGAUAUGUCUCAGAACACCGAUAGCGUAGGCAGCUGUCGAGGUCAUCUACUGACGCUGAGGAACGAAAGCGUGGGGAUCAAACA
rnacentral:rRNA from 1 species